ACUAAUUAGAUGAGUAUCUGCACUACGUGCGGGGUUAUAUAUUAUUAUUUACAAAUUAUUUUAUAUAAUGUCUGUUUAUAUAAAGUAAAGUUGAAUCCAUCGGUUUUGAAACAUAAAUAUAAUUUGUAAUUGUUUUUGAAAAGUCCAACUAUAUUAGUUCAUCUGAAAAACGAAUGUGUUUGAGUUGUUUUUAUUGUUGUUCUAGAUUCUCAGUUUUUUUAUAUAUAUAUAUCCUUGUUUUUUUUGUUAUAUGUUUAGAUUGUGAGACGGUAAAAUUUUAUUUCUUACACUAAAAAUAUAACAUGUCUUUAUUAACCAUGUCUCUGCAUAUUCAAUCUAAUCAUAUUCAACUUGAUGUUUUUGGAAAGUUUAGUUAAGUUCUUGUCAUAAUCUUAUAUCUUACGUAUUAGUUAUAAGGAUAGCUCCUCAAACAUCUUUCAAAUUACUUGUUUUCUUAUCAUAAAUUUCGAAAAACUUAGAUAUAUUUAAUCUGCAUAUUCAUUUAGUUUAUUUCAUAAUAAACGUCUAAUUUUUAGGUAAGGAAUAUGUGUAGCAUGUUUGGAUUUUAUGAUCACUUUAGCCACUAAGUGGAUCUCAAAAUUAAAAAGAAUAUAUUGAAUUAAAAAGAUAUAGAAAGAAUGAUGGUUCAAGUUCUGACUAAUUAUACUCUCAUAUUUUAGUUGUUAUGUUGAAUUAAUUACUAAUUAUGUAUUAGUUAUUUUAUGAAGUCUAGGUGGCAAGCUCUCAUGUGCUGAUGUGUCAAGUUGUGGGAGAGAGUUAACCUUCUUUCAUAUAUAUGAUUAAAACAUCAACCACUAGAUUUUUAUAUGAUUGUGAUGCCCCUUAAAACUUUGAUAUAUUUAGCGCCUUGGAUUUAUAGAUCACAUGUAACUGGAUUCUGAAAGCUAAAGUCGUGAGUUUUUGUGUAGAAUUUUUAUAAAAAACAACUUUAAGAACUUUACCCCACACACAAGCUUUAGAAAUCAUUACAACGCUUGAUUAGUGUUGUUGUAGUCAACAUAUGUCAUUAUAUGAUUAAGUAUAAGAACUAGAUAUGCAACGAGAUUCAGAAAGUUAAGUCGUAUAUGUAUUUGUGUAGAAGCUCCAAAAAAAC
rnacentral:sRNA from 1 species